UAGGCCUGACUCCAUAAACAUGUUAAUGUUAGAGUCGUGGGAUUCUGGUGAUGUUUUAACCAGGGUUGACACCUGGUCCGUGAACCCAACACACCCGUCUGUGCCACACAUCGACACCACAUCUGACAGAAAUGACCAAAAUAAAACACAGGAAAUACUACGGCGGUUUGUACGAACUUUAACAGUUACGCUGAGUUAUCGGUUUAUUUGUUUUUUUUAAGUGCGUUAUUGCCACAAGAACAGACUAGAUUUAAGAUUUAAUUUACUACACUUUAUAUAAGAAUGUGUUCAUCAAUAAUAAACCAUUUACUGGUUUGACACAAAAUAAAAACCACUCUGCGGUAGCCCCGCCCACAGGAGUCGGGUCAAUCACGCUGUUUUUAGAUGUCGUUACUACGACUGUAGUCACUAAGAUACAGCUGAACAGGCAAAAGAAAAAAUGUUAGAAAGCGGAAGUGGCAUGUGACGUCAGACGCCGAAAAAGUCAACCGCGGGCUUUAAAAGCCGCAGGUGAACGGCUCAGCUAGAAAUGUUAGCUAAUGUUGGCGUUUUGACUCAGUGGAUUCGUGUCAGCAGACUAGCUUAGCCUUCACAUAAAGUGGAAGGAAACGUUUCAUUUAUUCUUUUUUUGUUUUGCUGAAGCUCAUUAAAAACGUGAGCUUCGUGGUGAGCGUGUGUUUGGAGAAGCUGUUCACUCCUGGAGUCAAACUGUAGUGUUUGAAGUCCAGCGUCAGUGACGUCUACACUGGAUUAAACUUGUUGUCAACGAUGUUUGAAUGAACAGAAACGCUGGGACUUCGGCUCACGGAGACCAGGUGGACGUCGUCCAGAGUCAGAGUCCAGUCCUGGAACUGAAGGACCAGAUAGUUUGUCCUGAAGAGCUUCAACACGGUAGGGGGCGUCGUUUUUCUUCUAUUUUGUGCGGUCGCUGCACCGCUGCUGUGUUCGGCUAGGCCGCUGUUGCCUUGUUGUGAACGUGUGUAUGAGUGUUUGUUUGCGUGUGUGUGUGUGAACCAUAGCAGUACCAGUAAAUGGCCACCAGUCUCUGCUCUGGUUGGUUUACUUUCUGUUGUUUCCUGUCAUGUUGUUUUCCUGUCAGCGAGGUCCUCCAGUAGGGGGCGACUCUCUGCUCAGGGUUGUUGUGACUCUGGUCCCAUUUUCAUGGUGUGGCUGUGGAACUGCUGAGCAUGUGGUUAAACUGUUGGCUCUGGGUCUGAGCUGUGACCGUGGUGGUCCAGUGUCUGCAGAGUGACGUGGACCUGAAGUGGUCAUUGUUUUAUCGUCUUAAUCUGCAUGUUUCACUGGUGCCCAGACUGUGGGCUGUCGUCCUCGUGUGGGCUGAAUGCCGAAGUGUAUUUGUUCCAAUAGGUUACAAGUUGAUUUAAAACUUUAAAAAAAAAACUAUAUUAAUUUGAACAUGUUUGCUCUGUCUCUCCCUGCUGCUUUCUUUAUAACUUAAAUAAAGGAAUUUUAAAAAAGACAAAACGUCAACCUGUGUUUCUCAUGGGACUAAACACCCAGACACAGGUUUGAAACUUUCCAUCGGACAUGUGUUGCAGAUAAGACUAUGAGUGCAAAUAUGCCAUCACACUUCCCUGGUGGUCUAGUGGUUAGGAUUCGGCGCUCUCACCGCCGCGGCCCGGGUUCGAUUCCCGGUCAGGGAAC